UAUUAUCAUAGCUGACAGCCAGAAACUAGGGGCAGGUUUUACCUAGAAUUUCUGUAAAAUAUUUGUGUGAUUUUUAAUUGCUUGUAAGGCUAAUAUCUGACUCUUGAUGUGAUAGCUAACCACAGGGCUAGUUUCAGCUGUGUACUUUGGAAAUAUGUGAGGAAUUUAAAACUCAAGCACUACUUACGGGAAAGAGUCCUUCAUUUUAGAGAAGGUAAUACUUGUAAAUCAUGCAGGGAAGAUAUUCCUGUGAGCUUCUGUGCUAUUUUCCAGGUUUAUCCUCCAUUCUUGUCUCUGCCUCACAGUUUGUUGAAGAACCUAGGCUAUUUCACCAAAGUGUCUUGGAGGCUGGACUUUUUUGAUUGCAUGCUCAUGGUGAAGUUCAACAUGUUUAUCCUCCAUAUUUCCUGAACAUUGGCAGCUGGAUCCAGGAGCUUGGUCAGACUCGGAUUUAGUUCAAUGGACACAUUAUAUCUGACUGUGUUUCUGACUUUUAGUAGACCUUGACACUAAUUGCCUCAAAUCAUUUGUUGUGGGUCACAAAAAGGCUGAUACUCUAUCAUUUGGCUAAAGUAUUUUUAUUGAGAUGCUUCUUUCACCUAUUGGAUUACCUAGCACCAUGAUUCAGAGAGGAACAACAGGAUAAAGUUUUGAUUUGUGCUCUUUACUCACCUGUUCUUAAGUAAAAUAUUGGGAUUGGUUCCAUAACAUCCUCUGAAGGUUACUACAAUAAGUACAAAGUAAAAUUAAUGUUUACUGCUACGAUAAGACCUGAGCAGCACAUUCUCUGAAAGAAGAAGAAAGAAUUUGGAAAGGAGGCUAACCUGGGAUUGGCAAACAGGACAGUAAUACAUCAUUCUUGGCAAUGUAGAUAAGAUAUUAACCAGUAUAUCUGGAAGACAGAAGACCAGAAAGGGGGCGGUUUGGGAUCACCAGAGUAGGAAAGGUGGGAGAGUAUGGGGUUUACCUUUUUUAAAAAUAAGAUGUGUCAAUACUAUAAUAAAAGUGACUCUGGUUCUCAGGUUUAAGCAAGAUGCCUAGUCUGGGUCCUCUGUCUUUUGUUGCCAAAACUCAGUCCCACUAGAAUUAUCUGUUGGAACAAAUCAAUGCAGAGGGAAUUAAGAAAGCUGGCUCAAAGAUCAUCAGUGAUUUUGUUAGGAGUACAGAGGAGUCAAGCAGCUGGUGUUUUCCUGGUGUUCUGAAGACUGAAAAAAAAAAAAAUCAUAUCAGGAAAGUGACUUAGGGCAUAAGCCUACAUUAGUGGGUGUGGAGAAGGAAGGACUUGUUCUAGUUGCUGUGAGAGUCCCAGAUUGCCAGCUGGAAUUUUGCUGCUUUGGUAUGUUCUGUACUUCUGUGAGUUGUCUGGGCUGAGGCUCAUUUAUUAACACCACAGGAUUAUUAUGUACCAGAUCACUUUGUCAGUAUGUAGAAUAUGGCCAUUUUACCCUCAAAUCUGAGAUGUUAACUAAGCACAGACAGUAGUCAGUGAGUGAAGUCAAAUAAUUUAAAUAGAACACAAUGGGUGCAUUAGACUAUAUUAUAGCCCAUCUGAUCUCUUUUAUCAGUUGCAUGAGGCUCCCUGUCUUUGUAAGGAUGUCUAAAGCAAAGAUCAAUUUUCUCUUGCUUCAUAGAGGCAUUAAGUAUUACCUGCAACUUGAUUGUCACAAUUUGUAACUGAACGUUCUCUUUAAUUUGGAGUAAAUUCUGUGGAACUGGAAUGACCAGAUGAGGUCACCCAUUUUCUUUUUGUCAAUCUACAGAGAAGGAGUCAGAUGAAUGCAUAUGGCCACACUGCUUUCUUCCCAGAACAACAAUUAAGUGCUGAGGAGAAGCCCAACUCCAUCACUGUUGUGAGUGUGAGAGAAAGAAAGUGGAUUUGUCCUCACUGCCUUGAGAUUGAAGAAGAGGGGAAGGCUAUGUAUGAAUCUGCCAUUAAAGCCUCGCAUAAUUCCAGAAGUCCACACUUGCCUUGGGCUUCCCGGGUGGCACCAGUGGUAAAGAAUCUGCCUGCCAAUGCAGGAAACGCAAGAGACGCAGAUUCAAUCCCUAGGUUGGGCUGAUCUCUGGAGUAGGAAAUGGCAACCCCCUCCGUAUUCUUGCCUGGAAAGUAUCAUGGACAGAGGAGCCUGGCAGGCUAUAGUCCAUGGAGUCGCCAAAGAGUCGGACACAACUGAGCACGUGUGCAUGCUCGUCACUUGCCUGACACUAGUAGCAAAAGAAUUUAGCUGGAUGGUGGGAUCAGAAAUAUCCCUGCAUGUUCUGCCCUGAAGAAAACUUUGCCAUUUCCUAUAAUUGUGUAAAAUGACUCAUAACUAACAGGUGGAUGUGACCCCUGCCCCUCAAUGCAGAUGCUCCUCACUCGCUACUCCCUCUCUGAGAUAGAGGUAAAUUCUAGCUAAAUCACACCUUGUGAUGCGCUGGCCUGGGCCAGAGGUGAGAGCUUGCGGAAGAAGUAGUGGACCAUGGGACUGGAUCUGAAAGUUCUGAGCCGCUUCUUGUCGAGGAGCAGUGAGUACCUACUUGAGGUCGCUGGUGAGUCAAAACACCUGCCUCCUCUGGCACUAUGUGAUCAUCACUUCAUUGAUUCUGCAGUGAACCAUAGUCUAAAGGUUUUAUCAGAAGAUUUCUUUUGUGAAGAUAUACUUUUUGUUCUGUUUCACAGGCAUAGAUGUGAGAACUUUAAGGACAUGAACAAAUCAAAUGACCACUAAUUCACUGCCUGCAAGACAUUAGCAUUUGAACAUUUUGCAUGAUUUCACAAUCAUGAUAAAUGACAAAGAACAGUGGAGAACAUGCAACCAGCCAACUGCUCAAUAACUGACUUUAGGAGAUGGAUUCUCCAUCCUGAGGAAGUCCAGACUGAAGAGUCUUGAUUUUUGUAUCUUGAUUUUUUCCUCUCCAGUCCUGGAUUGUAGUUGGAUAAAACACUGGGUCAUAUACCAGGGAUUCCCAACCCAGGUGGGUCAGGUGUUCACAAGGGCACAGUGAAAUUAGAGAAGUCACAAAAUGGAGUGGGUUUUUCAUAAGGCCAAAUUUAUUGCAUUUAAUGGAAUUUUUCUUAGUUUAAGAAAAAUUGCAUUCUGAGUGAUAAAACAUCCUUCCCUUGUAAGGGAUAUUAUGGAAAGAGUGAGUGUGUGUGUAUUUCAUACACACAUGUAGAUUUAAUGUGUUUAUUUGGUGAAGGAAAGUGGAAAACUCUUUGUCUCUUCCUGACUCUUUUUUGGGAAAUUUUACUGGUCUCUGAAGUUCCAAGAUCUGGGAACCAUUAUUUUAUAUAGGGUUUUGUACACUGCAAGGUCAAAAUGCAGUUCAUUAUAGACUAUAUUUUUAAAAAAUAGCUUACAGAAAAAUGAAUGGAAAUUACAGAGAUUUCCAUAAUUCCCCUCCCAUUCCCUCAGUUUUCUCUAUCCUUAAUGUGGGGUGCAUUUGUUACAAUGAUAAGUCAAUAUAGGUUCAUUAUUAUUAAAGUCCAUAGUUUGCAUAAGGGUUAACUACUUGUGUUGUAAAUUCUUUGAGUUUUGACAGCAUGUAAUGACAUGUUUGGGCUUCCCUGGUGGCUCAGACAGUAAAGCAGUAAAGCAUCUGUCUGCAGUGCAGGAGACCCGGGUUUGAUCCCUGGGUUGGGGAGAUCCUCUGGAGAAGGAGGAGACCCGCUCCAGUACUCUUGCCUGGAAAACUCCAUGGAUGGAGGAGACGGGUAGGCUACAGUCCAUGGGGUCAAAGAGUCAGACAUGACUGAGCAACUUCACUUUCACUUUUUAAUGACAUAUAUCCACCGUUAGAGGUAUCAUACAAUACAAUUUCACUGCCCUAAAAAUCCUCUGUGCUCUGCAUAUUCAUCUUUUCCUUCUACCUGAGUCACUGGUAACUACUGAUCUUUUUACUGUCUCCAGAUUAUUUUACCCUUUCCAGAAUAUCAUAUGGUUGGAAUCAUAAAAUAUGUAGCCUUUUCAGAUAAGGGCCUCUUUCAUAUAUCAGUAUGUAUUUAAGUUUCAUCUAUGACUUCUAUUGCUUGAUAGAUCAUUCCUUUUUAUUAUUGAAUAGUAUUCCAUAGUAUAGAUGGACCGCAGUUUGUUUAUCUACUCAUAUAUUGAAGGGCGUCUUGGUUGCCUCCAACUUUUAACAAUUAUAAAUAAAGAUCCAUCUUGAUAUA